UAGCUCAGUGGUAAAGAAUCUGCCUGCCAAGCAGGAGACACAGGUUCAAUCCCUGA
rnacentral:tRNA from 1 species